rnacentral:rRNA from 1 species
GUUCUGUAAGCCUGUGAAGGUGUGCUGUGAGGCAUGCUGGAGGUAUCAGAAGUGCGAAUGCUGACAUAAGUAACGAUAAAGCGGGUGAAAAGCCCGCUCGCCGGAAGACCAAGGGUUCCUGUCCAACGUUAAUCGGGGCAGGGUGAGUCGACCCCUAAGGCGAGGCCGAAAGGCGUAGUCGAUGGGAAACAGGUUAAUAUUCCUGUACUUGGUGUUACUGCGAAGGGGGGACGGAGAAGGCUAUGUUGGCCGGGCGACGGUUGUCCCGGUUUAAGCGUGUAGGUGUGUGUUCCAGGUAAAUCCGGUUCACUUUAACACUGAGGCGUGAUGA